CACUAACUUGAGAGGCAACUCUUAACUGGCCAGAUAAGAAAAGACCGAGAGGUUCAAGCUUAUAGGGCAGAAAGCGGGGGACAGCAGUACUAAACAUUCCCUGUGGCUGAGACGAAGGUAGUACUCCAACAGCGUCUCAA
rnacentral:sRNA from 10 species